UUUCUCAUGUGCAAUCUGUGUAUGCUACAAAUCAGGCUUCUUUGUUUUUGUAGCUUCUUUGAUUAAAGUUUGGCCUUAAACCAUACUAUGAGACGGGUUUAUGAUGUAAUUUGACAAAUUCUGCAGACAAUGUGAUGACUAGCACGACUACAGUACUCAGUUUAGUAUUAAACAACCCCAUUUUUAGGUAGUCUAAACUGGUUCUUAGUCUAAGCUGUUAUUAUGUCUCCUAAAAUGUUCUUCAAUAAAUUUUGGUGUUCUGGCAGAUAGGACAGCAGUCCCUCAGGAGAGACUGGGGGAUAGGGAGACUACUGAAAUUGCUACUAAUUAAAGUGUUAGGCUGCUGCUUUGGUUUCUGGUAGCCAGUCACCCAUGUUCAAUGUUGUGCACUGCAACAUGGCUCAAACUAUCCAUUGUUUAGGUUGGAAAAAGACCUUUAAGAUCAAGUCCAACUGUUAAUCCAGUACUACCAGAUCUACCACUAAACUGUGUCUCUCAGUGCUACAUUUACACAUCUCUAGGAAUAUCUCAGGGAGUGGUGAUUCGGCUACUUUUCAGGGCACCCUGUUUGACCUGAGCUUGAAGACCCUGUUGGAGAAGAAAUUUUUCUUAAUAUCCAAUCUAAAUCUUCUCUGGGACAACCUGAGGCCAUUUCCUCUACCCCUAUCAUUUGUUACUUGAUGGAAGAGACCAACCCCACUUCACUAUGAUCUUUACAGUGAAAAGGCCUCCUCUGAGCCUCCUUUUCUCUAUGCUAAACACUCAUAGCUCUCUCAGCUGCUCCUUGAAGUCUUGUACUCCAGACCCUUUCCCAGCUCUGUUGCCCUUCUCUGGACACACUCUAGCAUCUCAAUGUCUUUCUUGCUGUGAGGGGCCCAAAACUUAAUGCAGGAUUCAAGGUGCAGCCUCUCCACUGACAGGGAUGGAGGGACAAUCACUGCCUUGGUCCUGCUGGCCAGAGUAUUGUUGAUACAAGCCAGGAUGCCAUUGGCCUUCCUGACCACCUGGGCACACUCUGAUUCAUGUUAAGCUUCUGUCAACCAGCACCCUCAAGUCUUUUUCUGAUCAACAUUCCCACUCAACUUGGUGCCUUCUUCAGACUGACUGAAGAUGCACUCAGUUCCCUUGUGCAGAUUGUUGGUAAAGACAUUAAACAGCACUGGCCUCCAUCCUGUGCCCUGGGAUCACCACUAGUGACCAGCUGCCAACUGGAUGUAACUCCAUUCUGGAGGUAAUGAUUCUCUGGGCCUGGCCUCCAGACAGGUUUUUACCCAGUGAGGAGUGCACCUGUCCAAGCCAUGAGCAGUCAGUUUCUCCAGGAGAAUGCUGUGAGAAGUGGUGUCAAAGCUUUACUAAAGCCCAGGUAGACAACAUGCACAGCCUUUCCCUCAUCCAUUAAGUGGGUCACCAUCUCAUAGAAGGAUUUCAUGUUGAUCAAACUGGUCCUGCUCUUCAUAAAUCUAUGUUGGCUGGGCCUGAUCCCUGGUUGUGCUGUAUUUGUUGUGUGAUACCACUCAAGAUUAUCUGCUCCAUAACUUUACCCCUCUAGAAUGUUCCAGGUACUGCUGGAUCUUAAAUCAAGAUACACAUGAUAUUAGGUGAUAGAGUACAGUGAAGUUUUAUGGAAAUAAGCAUAGUGAAAGCUAUCAAAAAUUUGAGCUAACCUGCAGGUGCUGCCUGAACCAACAGUGGUGUGGGAGCUGUUGAAAUGCAUAAAUAUCUGCAAGUAAGCCAAAUUUCCUUGCAAGUAUCUUCCACACUAUUAGCCACCUGCUGUUACUACUGCAAAUACUUGGCUUAAAGUAGGUGGUUACUUAACAUUAAAUAGUUGCCCCCAGGUGGAGCUCUGUCUUAAAAGGUUUUGCAAAACUGAAUGUUGAAACUACCUGCAGGUCAAAACCAGCUUGAAGAACAAGUGUAGGGAGGGUGACUUGACCUCUGAGAUUUUUGAAUUAAGAACUAUAUAGACAUCUUCAUGCUAGCAGACCUGAUGGCUUCUUAGCAGGGAAAACAGUUGGGGCAGAGAAACAAGUCUUGACACUUACAGCAUUACACUUAAACUAUAAACACUUACACGUUUCAGUUUAUAGCCUCAUUUAGUAGAGUGCUUGACUCUGUUUCCUGCUGGAGUAUGCAGAUACUGACCAGCUGCCUAAGUGUCUCUAGUAAUGAAAAUGUGGGGACAAGGACCAAGUUGAUACCACAGACUACCACAGACAAUACUACAUACUGUGGUAUCUUGUCUUUAACUCAUUCUUCUCAGAAAUACUUUACUUGUUUGUCACUUAUAAGUCUUGAAAUAGAUAACAGAAGAUGACUUCACCUUCA